UACGUAGGGUGCGAGCGUUAAUCGGAAUUACUGGGCGUAAAGUGUGCGCAGGCGGCCGCGCAAGUCGAGUGUGAAAUCCCCGAGCUUAACUUGGGAAUUGCGCUCGAAACUACGUGGCUGGAGCAUAGUAGAGGCAGGUGGAAUUCCGGGUGUAGCGGUGGAAUGCGUAGAGAUCCGGAAGAACACCGGUGGCGAAGGCGGCCUGCUGGGCUAUGGCUGACACUGAGGCGCGACAGCGUGGGGAGCAAACAGG
rnacentral:rRNA from 1 species